CCUGUCUCAAGGCAGUUACUAGUUGUGGGACCCACAACUAAUCCACGGCAUCCUGCACUCUCAGUUCUCGGAUUCUGGCAGGCUGGCAGGCAUCAUUCUGGGUAAGCCUUCUGGGGUUGGGCGGGGGACAAAGCCCCUCCCAGCACACCAGGCCCCUAGGCUAGGUGGAGGGCGGGGCCCCUUGGUACGCGAGAAGACGGGGAAGGGCGCCCCCCACCCUCCCACCCCGCGCCCAUCUCCAGGCCCCGUCACCUGGCGAACCCACGGGGCAGCCGAGCUGGCCCCGGUCCAGCUGUGGAUGGAAGCGGCCGCAGACGCACAUGGCUACGGAAUUACAGCACAAACUGUGUGAGCUACAUGAAUCCAGAGCUGCAGUACAAGCCGGACCACUAGACUUUUCACUUCAUGACCUGAACCGAGGAGACAACGUAUAUAUAAAGAACUUCCAGCGUACAGGAGCAACCCAGCCUUCCUGGGAAGGACCAUUCCAAAUAUUGUUAACUACUCCAACAUCUAUAAAGGUUGGAGAAAAGGACUCUUGGAUUCAUUGCUCACAUGUAAAGAGAGCAUCUUCUAUUGAGACUGAUUGACUGUAUCCUAUAUAUGCAUUGGAAGUAACUACCCAUUGACAAGUGGAACUGUUUUAUUUUGUUUUUGAAACAUUGAAUUCCUGAUUUUUUUCUCUUCUCUUUACCUUAUUUUAUUUAUUAUUGCUUUUCUUUUGAAUAUUUGAAUUUGUUCCCCUUUUCUCAUUUCUAUGUACUUAAGGGUGUAUGGGGUGCUCAGGGAGGGGUUGUAUAUCUCUGGUAUGGAGGGCUUGUCGUUCCCUCUGAGGGCACCUCUCCAACCUCUGACCCUCACCUGACACCCAGCUCUCACUUGUGGCUCCCAGUAGUUGCUAGCAUGCGGCAGCAGCCACACACCGGGCAAUGGCUUCGACAGGCUAGCUAAACCUUGUGAGGGUAACCAUCGGGUUGUAGAACCCUGGUGAACCAGGGCUUUGCUCACCCAGCAUGUGAAGACUGCUUCGGCGGAACAGGCGGAAGAAACCAACAAGAAGGUUCAAUGGCUGAGAUGGUGACGCAGCAAAGCUCUGUGGAGUGUUUAGGGCGUGUUGGAGCACAAAAGACAACAUGGCCAUCCAAUGCAGCUGAGGAGGUCUCCAGGUGUAACAACUUUUCAUGCCACUGGACCCAGGCUUCCAACGCUGAUAGAGUGGGACUGUCUCUGUGCAUCGACUCUUCCACUUAAAUCUCCUUCAUGCACAAGUGUCUUUGUGCACGCUAAUCUAUAAUAGAUGAAAACGCACGAAGACAAUCGUCAUCCUCAGUUACCGAGAGACCACUACCAUGUACUUAAGGUACAUACAAUCAAUAUUAAUUUUUAUUCCACAAUAAUAUCAGUUUAAAUAUAUAUACUUGCUAUAUUAUUAAUACAUACCCAAACAGCUUUAGACUAUGGGAACCUGCCAUUUAUUGAUAAUUGUUGUGGGACUAUGAUUAAUGUUUGUGUCUGGUUCUAGGAAUGAAAAAAAAAAGGAGCGCAGAGAAAACCUGGAUAAUACCAAAAGAGCUCACUGGUCUAAAAAUC
ensembl:lncRNA